rnacentral:tRNA from 1 species
GUUGCAGGUUCGAUUCCUGU